UGCUUUUGUAUUUAUGGAAUUCUUUGUGGUGCACUAGAUGAAGUCAAGGGAACACCUGAUGAGACUUCGGCUAUUGCAACAACAGAAUGCCCACUUGCAGAGAAGGGAUCCAAAUCAACCGGCUCUUAAUGGUGCUAUGAACUUUGAUGUAUCAGUCAACAUGGCAGCCCUACAGCAGUAGUUUCAGUCAAGAAACCAGCAAGUUGCUGAUUGGAGCCAAUUUUUUUACUCUAAAAGCCUAUCUUUUGAUACCAUUGUCUAAGAACAAUCAGAUCAUCAUUUCACCAUCUUCGGCCGCCCAAGGAUAUUUCAAACUACUUUUGCUGAUAUCAGGAGAAGGACCAUGACCAGACAAGCAAAAAUAUGCGACUGCCUGGGGCCGG